rnacentral:rRNA from 1 species
UGGGGGAUUUUGCGCAAUGGGCGAAAGCCUGACGCAGCGACGCCGCGUAUACGAUGAAGGCCUUUGGGUCGUAAAGUACUGUCAACGGGGACGAACGCCUCAGGUUGAAUAGGUCUGAGGUCUGACGGUACCCGUGGAGGAAGCACCGGCUAACUCUGUGCCAGCAGCCGCGGUAAUACAGAGGGGGCAAGCGUUGUCCGGACUUACUGGGCGUAAAGCGCACGCAGGUGGUAAGGCAAGUGGGGUGUGAAAGCCGCCAGCUUAACUGGCGGAGGCCAUCCCAAACUGCUUCACUUGAGGCCUGUAGAGGUAUGUGGAAUUGCCGGUGUAGUGGUGAAGUGCGUAGAGAUCGGCAGGAACACCCAGGGGGAAACCAGCAUACUGGACAGGACCUGACACUCAGGUGCGACAGCGUGGGGAGCGAACCGGAUUAGAUACCCCCGUAGUCC